CGCCGCGGUUAUACGGGACAAUGGCCCAAGUUGACAGUAAACGGCGUAAAGGGUGGUUAAGGGACUAAAACAACAAUAAAGCCGAACACCCCUCCUGCUGUUAUACGCAAUCGGGGAUAGAGAAGAUCAAUUACGAAAGUAGCUUUACCCCUCCCCUGAACCCACGAAAGUCAUGACA
rnacentral:rRNA from 1 species